ensembl:lncRNA
CCGAACGAGAUCUUGUGAGCUAGCCCUGUUGUCACUUAAGCUAAUUAAAUACGUUCCUCUGUUCCUAACUGUAAACAUGUAGCAGGCUUCUCAUGGAAACUAAGGGGAAUGCUGAAAAUGUCGAGUCCAGGUAAAAAAGUGAAACCAGGAGAAAAACUGCCUGUGAAACCCACAGGAGCCCAGAGCAGGGCGUCCCAUGAUCUCAGAAAGCUCCAGGCUCUGCUUGCCAAAAGCAGCUCCAGACAAGAGGUGGCAGCUUUGAGUCACAGUAAAGCUGGCAGCAGCGGAGCCAGCAGACCUCUACAUCCUCCCAAAGACAGCAGCAGUGAAGCUUCUGAGCUGGAAAAAUUCAGGUUUACUGAACUUAAAACUACACCUACAGUUAGUUCACAUGAUCACCAGAGCUCUGUUGUUUCUAAAAAGUCUACGUGUUUGUUCAUAUAG